rnacentral:rRNA from 1 species
UACGUAGGGGGCAAGCGUUGUCCGGAUUUAUUGGGCGUAAAGAGCUCGUAGGUGGUUCGGUAAGUCGGAUGUGAAAUCUCCAGGCUCAACCUGGAGGGUCAUUCGAUACUGCCGUGACUAGAGUUCGGUAGGGGAGUGUGGAAUUCCUGGUGGAGCGGUGAAUGCGCAGAUAUCAGGAGGAACACCCGUAGCGAAGGCGGCACUCUGGGCCGAUACUGACACUGAGGAGCGAAAGCGUGGGGAGCGAACAGG